GGUUAAGCGACUAAGCGUACACGGUGGAUGCCCUGGCAGUCAGAGGCGAUGAAGGACGUGCUAAUCUGCGAAAAGCGUCGGUAAGGUGAUAUGAACCGUUAUAACCGGCGAUGUCCGAAUGGGGAAACCCAGUGUGAUUCGUCACACUAUCGUUAACUGAAUACAUAGGUUAACGAGGCGAACCGGA
rnacentral:rRNA from 1 species